GGGGGAUAAAUUAAUAAAGUAUAAAUAAUAAAAAAAUUUUUAAUAUUAAAAUAUUUUAAUGGGGGUUAAAGUAUAUUUAAUAGAAAAAAUAAAAAAAUUUAUAGAAAAUUAGUAUUGUAAAAGAAAUUUGAAAUAAAUUGAAAAUAAAUUUAUUUUUAAGUAAAUUUAAUUUAUUGUAUCUUGUGUAUCAGAGUUUAUUAAUAAUAAUUUUUUUUUAAAAAUUUCUCGAAUUUAAAAGAGAUAAUUAGUUAUUAAAGUUAAUGUUGUAUAAUUAUUUUAAAUAAUUAAUUUGAAAUGAAAUGUUAAUCGUUUUUAAAUAUAUCUAGUUUUUUUAGAAAAAAAUUUAAUUUUAAAUUUUAAAAAAUAUAAUUUUAAUUAAUUAAAAUUAUAUUUUUAAAAUUAAAUAUUUUAAGGGAUAAGCUUUAAAAUAAAUUUUUAUAAUAAAUUUUAAUAAUAAUUAAGAUUUUUAAAAUUUAUAUUGUUUAUAAAUUAUAAUUUUUUAUAAAUAAUUUUAAUUAAAUUAAAAUUUUAAAAUUUAUUUAAUUUUUUAUAAAAAAAUAUUUUUUAAUAAUUAAAAUUUAGAUAUAAUGAUAAAAUUAGUAUAUAAAUGAAUAAAUAUAGUUUAUUAUUUGAUAAUUUAAAAAAAGGAAUUCGGCAAAAAUUUAUAUUCACUUGUUUAUCAAAAACAUGUCUUUUUGAUUAAUAAUUUAAAGUCUAAUCUGCCCACUGAUAAUAUAUUAAAGGGCUGCAGUAUUUUGACUGUACAAAGGUAGCAUAAUCAUUAGUCUUUUAAUUGGUGACUUGUAUGAAAGAUUUGAUGAAAUAUAUACUGUCUUUUUUUAAUUUAUAAAAUUUAAUUUUUUAGUUAAAAAGCUAAAAUAAAUUUAAAAGACGAGAAGACCCUAUAGAGUUUUAUAUUUAUAUAAAUUAAAAUUUUUUAUAAGAUUUAAAAUUUUAAUUUAUGUAAAUAUUUUAUUGGGGUGAUAGAAAAAUUAGAAUAACUUUUUUUAUAAUUUUACAUUAAUAAAUGAAUAAAUGAUCCGUAAUUUACGAUUAUAAGAUAAAAUUACCUUAGGGAUAACAGCGUAAUUUUUUUUUUUAGUUCAAAUAAAAAAAAAAGUUUGCGACCUCGAUGUUGGAUUAAAAUAAAAUUUAAAUGCAAAAGUUUAAAAUUUUUGAUCUGUUCGAUCAUUAAAAUCUUACAUGAUCUGAGUUCAAACCGGUGUAAGCCAGGUUGGUUUCUAUCUUUAAAUUAAUAAAAUAUUUUAGUACGAAAGGAUCAAAUAUUUAAAAUAGUUUUAUUUAAAAAAAUUUUAAUAAUAAUAAAUAUUUUUAAAUAUG
rnacentral:rRNA from 1 species